CCUACGGGGGGCAGCAGUGAGGAAUAUUGGUCAAUGGGCGAGAGCCUGAACCAGCCAAGUCGCGUGAAGGAUGACGGCCCUACGGGUUGUAACCUUCUUUUGUCAGGGAGCAAUUGAGUCCACGUGUGGGCUUAGCGAGAGUACCUGAAGAAAAAGCAUCGGCCAACUCCGUGCCAGCAGCCGCGGUAAUACGGAGGAUGCGAGCGUUAUCCGGUUUUAUUGGGUUGAAAGGGGGCGUAGGCGGAAUAUCAAGUCAGCGGUAAAAGUUAGGGUCUCAACCCCGUGGUGACGUGGAAAGUGAUGUUCUUGAGUGGGCGAGAAGAAUGCGGAAUGCGUGGUGUAGCGGUGAAAUGCAUAGAUAUCACGCAGAACUCCGAUUGCGAAGGCAGCAUACCGGCGCCUAACUGACGCUGAAGUACGAAAGCGUGGGUAUCGAACAGGAUUAGAUACCCUAGUAGUC
rnacentral:rRNA from 1 species